GACGAACGCUGGCGGCGUGCCUAAUACAUGCAAGUAGAACGCUGAAGAGAGGAGCUUGCUCUUCUUGGAAGAGUUACGAACGGGUGAGUAACGCGUAGGUAACCUGCCUUGUAGCGGGGGAUAACUAUUGGAAACGAUAGCUAAUACCGCAUAACAAUGGGUGACCCAUGUCAUUCAUUUGAAAGGGGCAACUGCUCCACUACAAGAUGGACCUGCGUUGUAUUAGCUAGUAGGUGAGGUAACGGCUCACCUAGGCGACGAUACAUAGCCGACCUGAGAGGGUGAUCGGCCACACUGGGACUGAGACACGGCCCAGACUCCUACGGGAGGCAGCAGUAGGGAAUCUUCGGCAAUGGGGGCAACCCUGACCGAGCAACGCCGCGUGAGUGAAGAAGGUUUUCGGAUCGUAAAGCUCUGUUGUAAGUCAAGAACGAGUGUGAGAGUGGAAAGUUCACACUGUGACGGUAGCUUACCAGAAAGGGACGGCUAACUACGUGCCAGCAGCCGCGGUAAUACGUAGGUCCCGAGCGUUGUCCGGAUUUAUUGGGCGUAAAGCGAGCGCAGGCGGUUUGAUAAGUCUGAAGUUAAAGGCUGUGGCUCAACCAUAGUUCGCUUUGGAAACUGUCAAACUUGAGUGCAGAAGGGGAGAGUGGAAUUCCAUGUGUAGCGGUGAAAUGCGUAGAUAUAUGGAGGAACACCGGUGGCGAAAGCGGCUCUCUGGUCUGUAACUGACGCUGAGGCUCGAAAGCGUGGGGAGCGAACAGG
rnacentral:rRNA from 1 species